GCCGAGGUGCAGUGGCGAGAUGGCAUCUUUCACAGCAGCACAGCCAUGUCGUGAGCGUUCGAUUGAGGGCGCCAACUGAACGGGGCUCAUUCUCU
rnacentral:RNase_MRP_RNA from 15 species